rnacentral:rRNA from 1 species
GAUGAACGCUAGCGGGAGGCUUAACACAUGCAAGUCGAGGGGCAGCAUAGGGUAGCAAUACUCUGAUGGCGACCGGCAAACGGGUGAGUAACGCGUAUGCAACCUACCCUGUACAGGGGGAUAACUCGGAGAAAUUCGGACUAAUAUCCCGUAAUAAUAUCCGGAGGCAUCUUUGGAUAUUUAAAGUUCCGACGGUACGGGAUGGGCAUGCGUAACAUUAACUGGUUGGUAAGGUAACGGCUUACCAAGGCUAUGAUGUUUAGGGGUCCUGAGAGGGUGGUCCCCCACACUGGUACUGAGACACGGACCAGACUCCUACGGGAGGCAGCAGUGAGGAAUAUUGGUCAAUGGGCGCAAGCCUGAACCAGCCAUCCCGCGUGCAGGAAGACGGCCCUAUGGGUUGUAAACUGCUUUUCCAGGGAGAGAAACUUACGCACGUGUUGCGUGACUGACGGUACCCUGGGAAUAAGCAUCGGCUAACUCCGUG